rnacentral:rRNA from 1 species
GACGAACGCUGGCGGCGUGCUUAACACAUGCAAGUCGAACGGAAAGGCCUUGUUUUUGUGGGGUGUUCGAGUUGCUCACGGGUGAGUAACACGUGAGUAACCUGACUUUGCUUCUGGGAACUUUUGUGGAAACCUGGGCUAAUACCGCUUAGGCGCUCCUGCUCCAUGGUGGGGGUUGGAAGGUUUCGGCGGUUGGUGUUGGACUUGCGGCUUAUCAGCCUGUUGGUGGGGUUGUGGCUUACCAAGUCUGUGACCGGUAGCCGGCCUGCAAGUGUGACCGGCCACAAUGCGAAGGAGAGACGGGCGAGACUCCUACGGGAGGCAGGAGUGAGGAGUAGUGCACAAUGGUCGGAAGGCUGAGGCAGCAACGCCGCGUGCGGGAUGGCGGCCUUCUGUUGGUAGACCGCAUGCGCCUGGGACGAAGCGGUAGUGACGGUAAUGGGUGAAGAAGCACCGGCUAACUACGUG